AUGUGGUAUGCUCCUAUAAUACCACGGUUGAAACGUCUGUUCAGGAACAAAGAGCAUGCCAAGUUGUUGCGAUGGCACAAAGAGGACCGUAAGUCGGACGGGGAGUUGAGACACACCGCAGAUGGAACGCAAUGGAGAAAGAUCGACAGAUGGUUCAAAGAUUUUGCAGCUGACGCAAGGAACAUAAGAUUUGCUCUAAGUACGGAUGGCAUGAAUCCUUUUGGCGAGCAGAGCUCCAGCCAUAGCACCUGGCCCGUGACUCCAUGCAUCUACAACCUUCCUCCUUGGUUGUGCAUGAAGCGGAAGUUCAUUAUGAUGCCAGUGCUCAUCCAAGGUCCGAAGCAACCCGGCAACGACAUCGAUGUGUACCUAAGGCCAUUAGUUGAUGAACUUUUACAGCUGUGGGGUGGUGUCCGUGUGUGGGAUGAGCACAAACAAGAGGAAUUUGACCUACGAGCGUUGCUUUUCGUAACCAUCAACGAUUGGCCUGCUCUUAGUAACCUUUCGGGACUGUCAAAUAAGGGAUACAAUGCAUGCACGCACUGCUUACAUGAGACUGAAAGUGUACAUUUGCCAAAUUGUAAGAAGAACGUGUACCUUGGGCAUCGUCGAUUUCUUCCGAAAAUUCAUCCAGUAAGAAAGAAAGGCAAGCAUUACAACGGCAAGGCAGAUCACCGGCCGAAGCCUGCGGAACGCACUGGUGCUGAGGUAUUUGAUAUGGUCAAGGAUUUGAAAGUCAUCUUUGGAAAGGGUCCUGGCGGACAAUCAGUUCCGAAGGGAGCUGACGGGCACGCAGCCAUGUGA
rnacentral:rRNA from 1 species